GGGGGAAAAAACAAGGUCGUAACCUCACAAAAUGUGAAAAAAUAUAGGGGUCUGAAUACUUUCCGAAUGCACUGAAAAACAACACACACUGCGGAGGCGGAAAGUACGGAGCAGUGUUGCAAUGUCAUUUUUAUACACUCCAACAUUCAACACAGUUUUUUGCUAUCUGGAAAUUGAGACGCGCCGUAUGAGAUGCAGAUGUAUUCGGACAAGAACACAAAAGCUAACAACUGGAGGGAGAUAUCAUGAAAUUUGAACACCGAUAUCAAAGAAAAAUGUAGAACAAUUCGGACCAGUAUGUUCGCAAUCUGAAAAAGGUGAAGAAGACAAGGAGUGUGGCUGCUGCCAAUUGUCCGAUAACUGGGUUGGCUUCAUCAUCAGGCAGACGCCAAUAUGCCAGAUCCGGUGUUGGGGAGGUAGGAUGGCAUUGUGGACAGACAAGAGACAGAACUGAGCCCCGAAGGCCCAUCUUCAGGUGGUUCAUCGCCCCUUGGUUCAUCAUCUCCCCAGCCUUGUUCAUCACGUCCCCGGCCCCUCUCACUAACGCACAAACCUCACUCUCUGCUCUGGCACUCCAUCAAUCCCCCCAACUUCCCGACCCAGCUCCAGUGGCCGGAAGAGUGACACAGCUGAGGAUCCUUUGGACACUAAUAUUAUACAGUUUAGGAUGUAAAGAAAGAUCGUCAUUGUCCAGCAAGUGCCAUCUACAACUUCCUCCUGUGACACUUUCUCCUGUGACACUUUCUCCUGUGAUACUUCCUCUUGUGAUACUUCCUCUUGUGGCUCUUCCUCUUGCGAUACUUCCUUGUGUGACACUUCCUCUUGUGAUACUUCCUCUUGUGACUCUUCCACUUGCGACACUUCCUCUUCUGACACUUCCUCUAGCGACACUUCCUCUAGCGACUCUUCCUCUUGUGACUCUUCCUCUUGUGUUACUUCCUCUUGCGAUGCUUCCUCUUGUGACACUUCAUAUUGUGCCACUUCCUCGUGACACUUCCUUGUGUGACACUUCCUCGUAUGACACUUCCUUGUAUGACACUUCUUAUUGUGAUACUUCCUCUUGUGACACUUCCGUUUGUGAUACUUCUCCUUGUGACAAUUCCUUGUGUGAUAUUUCCUCAUGACACAUCCUAUUGUGAUACCUCCUCUUGUGAUACUUCCUCUUGUGAUACUUCCUCUUGUGAUCGUUACCUGGGAAAAAAAAGUUAUAUGUUUGUCUGGUUAUUUGUACUUGUGGCAGAAAAUAUAUUUCUGUUCUUAAUCAGUCACUCAGUACUGCUUUGUACAUGAGCUAUGUAGACAAGGUUAAUGUCUUGGUGGUCUGUCAUUAUUGUCUAAAAAAGUCCUCAAUUGUUGAAAGGCCACGACACAUUAGGUUGUACACAUGUAGAUUAGCUAAAUGUCUUGUGGGUCUAAUCUUAAAAAAAUAGGACAAACUAAAACAGCACAAGGAUGAAGUGACUGUCAUCAUGGUACUCUUUAUUGUGAUUUGUAAAGUGUGAAUUAGAAAAACAUAAAAAAAUUCAAACAGCAAAACCAAGUGUGUAGCUUACAACAUGACAUACUGUAUAAACAGUCAUCACCCAGAGAAGGAG
rnacentral:lncRNA from 1 species